rnacentral:rRNA from 1 species
CCUACGGGAGGCAGCAGUGAGGAAUAUUGGUCAAUGGGCGAAAGUCUGAACCAGCCAAGUAGCGUGAAGGAUGACUGCCCUACGGGUUGUAAACUUCUUUUAUAUGGGAAUAACAUGUUUUACGUGUAGGGUUUUGCAUGUACCGUAUGAAUAAGGAUCGGCUAAUUCCGUGCCAGCAGCCGCGGUAAUACGGAGGAUCCGAGCGUUAUCCGGAUUUAUUGGGUUUAAAGGGAGCGUAGGUGGAUUGUAAAGUCAGUUGUGAAAGGUUGCGGCUCAACCGGACAAUUGCAGUAGAAACUGGGAGCGUUGAGUACAGGAGAGGUGGGCGAAAUCGGUGGUG